rnacentral:rRNA from 1 species
GUGCCAGCCGCCGCGGUAAUACGGAGGAUCCAAGCGUUAUCCGGAAUCAUUGGGUUUAAAGGGUCCGUAGGUGGAUAAUUAAGUCAGAGGUGAAAUCUUGCAGCUCAACUGUAAAAUUGCCUUUGAAACUGGUUAUCUUGAGUUAUUAUGAAGUAGUUAGAAUAUGUAGUGUAGCGGUGAAAUGCAUAGAUAUUACAUAGAAUACCAAUUGCGAAGGCAGAUUACUAAUAAUCAACUGACACUGAUGGACGAAAGCGUGGGUAGCGAACAGGAUUAGAUACCCUGGUAGUCCACGCCGUAAACGAUGGUUACUAGCUGUUUGGACUUCGGUCUGAGUGGCUAAGCGAAAGUGAUAAGUAACCCACCUGGGGAGUACGUUCGCAAGAAUGAAACUCAAAGGAAUUGACGGGGGCCCGCACAAGCGGUGGAGCAUGUGGUUUAAUUCGAUGAUACGCGAGGAACCUUACCAGGGCUUAAAUGUAAGUUGCAUUAGUUAGAGAUAGCUAUUUCUUCGGACCACUUACAAGGUGCUGCAUGGUUGUCGUCAGCUCGUGCCGUGAGGUGUCAGGUUAAGUCCUAUAACGAGCGCAACCCCUGUUGUUAGUUGCCAGCGAGUCAUGUCGGGAACUCUAACAAGACUGCCAGUGCAAACUGUGAGGAAGGUGGGGAUGACGUCAAAUCAUCACGGCCCUUACGUCCUGGGCUACACACGUGCUACAAUGGUAGGUAC